AGGAAAUUGAAACUGGGAGCUUUGGGGACUUGCCGGAGCAGGUGAGAAUGACUCUCACACCGAGACUCCUAGAGACAUCCCGCUCCCUGAUAAUCACAGUGGUUCAGUUCUCAGAACACGGGCUUUCCUUACCUUGCCACUAUUGACACUUGGAGCCAGAUAAUUCUUGGUUGUGAGGAUCUGUCCUGUGUGUUGUAGUAUGUUUUGUAACAUCUUUCCUUUGCCUACAAGGUGCCAGUAGCAAUCCCCCUAGUUAUGUCUCCAAACAUUGCCUAAAAUCUCCAGGAGGACAACAUCAUCUGAUUGAAAACCACUUGACUAAUGGAAUCGGGCUCCAUGACAAACGGCUUCUCCCGUUUACCUGGUUUACUCUUUCCUGUCUGCGUGCCAACAGGGGCCUCAAUUUUUUUUGUGUGUGUGACAAAUUAUAAAAAGCUACAGUGAAUUUGCCUUGCACUACGUCCUGACAGCAUAAUCAAAUAACAGUUUUCAACCUACUGCCUGCACAGCAAGAAGACAAAGUGUGUAAGGACGGGAGCCACAUUUUUUUUCCUUUAAUAAAUCUUCGUUCAGUGAAUGAAAAAGUGGAUUGCUGCUGCUAACCACGAGCCAAGCAGGUUACAGACUCUACACACAUUAUACAGUUUCAUUCCCCAACCACCUAUGCAUUACAUAUUAAAAGGCCUGUUUCUGAAAGGCAGAGUGUAGAGGAUUUGUAGGGCAGUGAAAAGGUAUCCAUAAUCAGUGAUCUAUUGCCAAACCUUAACAGGAAGUCACAUGGCCAAGGAGAACACGGUUUGUGGAGUUCCAGCACCAGCCUCAAAGCAGAGCAUGGAAGGAGAACCUGCCAUUGAUGUGGACAAGUCUGCACUAGCCUCUGGAAGACGAAAAGGUCCAGGCAUUAGAAAAGACCCCAAGCCAUUCUACCUGUCCCAGCUGAGUCCCACACAGACCAGCCAUCCCCCAGCUACACACAGGUUUACUGCAAGCAUGCGAGUAAAUCCAGUGAAGUUCAACAACACCCAGCCAAAAUCAGCCAAAUUGUCUAGUCUACUUCCAGAUUUGUGAAAAUAAAGAGAAAAAAAUCUGUGCUAUGGACAGAAAGCAAGAGGAAGCAUCAAAGGUGCUGAUGGUGAAGGAGGAUAUGCUAUGAGACAAAACCUUGACAAGAUGUAUUGGACAGCAGAGCUUCUCACAUUUGAACAAGCAUAAGAAUCUCUGGGAGAACAUGUGAACGCAGAUACCCAGGCCUUCACCUUGGGAGAUUUUAAAUGAAACUCUGCAACUCACGGAUCAGAAGAUCUCACUCGCGAAUCCAUGCCACUGGGGACUAGCGUCCCAACUCCAGAAUGCACAGACUCUUAACAGCCGCUCAGCUGGAAUCUGCUUAAGCCUAUGGAACUCCCACAGGGAGAGACAACCAGCACCGCACUUCGGCUGCCUGCUGUCUAAGCACUUUGAGCUCCUUGGGGGAGGGGCAGCAGCCAGCACUAGGACUGGCAACCGCCAAACACGCUAAGCUCCCUAGGUGGGGGAAGGGCGGCACCCAUCUCUAUAGCCCCAGGCUGUGCUUUUCCCCUGCUGGAGCCAGAGAGGCUGGAUUCCUUGGUCCUAAGACUUGUCCCCCACAGCCCAACACUGCAGCUGUGGCAGUCUGUGGCCAGAGUGCCUCUUCAGGCUUAACCCUGACCCAUCCUUCCUCAUUGGGCAGGGCUUCCCUGCAGGAACUCCAAUAACUCCAGCCAGAGAGGUUCAGGGACAGAAUCUGGAUCUCCCUGGGCCCGAGCCCUUAGGGGGAGGGGUGGCCACAGUCUCUAUGGAGCAGCAGACUUAGCCUCUCAUCCUGGUAGUUCUGAGAAAUCCAGGCAGCACAGAUAAGUGUGUUUCUCCCCAGUGAAUCAUACCCUCUCCACUAAAGGACAAAGUUCUUCAUUAAACAGGUCCUGUUCCCUGUGCUACCCAACUGGGUGAGACCCACCAAUCGGAGUUGUCAGACACCCUAUACAGGAGCAAUCCUGCUGGCAUCAGGUUGGUGCCCCUCUAGGUCAAAGAUGCCAGAAGAAGGAGCAGGCACCCAUCAUUGCUGUUUUCCAGCCUCCUUGAGUGACAUCUCUAGGCACAGGAGCAAAUCAGAUUAAUAGGGCCUGAACUGAACCCCCAGUAAACUACAGCAGCCCUACAGAAGAGGGAACUGACCACUGGGGGGAAAAAAAAAAACAGAAAGCAACAACAGGAGCAUCAACCACAACAACAACAACAAAAAGCCCCCACAAAAACCCCAUUCACGGGUCAGCAGCCUCAAAGACUGAAACUAGACAAACUCAUGAAGAUGAGAAAGAAUCAACAAAAGAAUGCUGAAAACCCAGAAGGCCAGAGUGCCUCUUCUCUUGUAAAUGAUCACAACAUUUCUCCACCAAGGGCACAGAACAGGAUGGAGGAUGAGAUGGAUGCAUUGACAAAAGUAGGCUUCAGAAGAUGGGUAAUAAAAAACUACACAGAGCUAAAGGAACAUAUCCUAACCCCAUGCAAAUAAACUAAGAACAUUGAUUAAAAAGUUCAAGGAAUUGCUAACUAGAAUAACCAGUUUAGAGAGCAACAUAAACCAGCUGACAGAGCUGAAAAACACAGCACGAGAACUUUGUGAAGCAUACACAAGUAUCAAUAGCUGAAUCGACCAAGAGGAAGAAAGGAUAUCAGAGUUUGAAGACCACUUUGCUGAAAUAAGGCAUGCAGACAAAACUAGAGAAAAAAAAGAAUGAAAAGGAAUGAACAAAGCCUCCAAGAAAUACAGGACUCCAUAAAAAGACUGAACCUACAACUGAUUGGAGUACCAGAGGAGACAGGGAGAAUGGAAACAAGCUGGAAAACACAGUUCAGGAUAUUAUCCAAGAGAACAUCCCCAAACUAGCAAGAAAGGCCAAGAUGCCAAUUCAGGAAAUACAGAGAACACCAUUAAGAUAUUCCAUGAGAAGAUCAGACCGGAAUGCAUAAUCAUCAGAUUCUCCAAGGUCAAAAUGAAGAACAAACAGUUAAAGCCAGCCAGAGAGUAAGGCCAGGUCACCUACUAAGGGAAGCCCAUCAGACUAACAGCAGAUAUCUCAGGAGAAACUGUACAAGCCAGAAGAGAUUGGGGGCCAAUAUUAACAUUCUUAAAAAAAAAAUUUUCAACCUAGAAUUUUAUAUACAGCCAAACUAAGCUUCAUAAGUGAAGGAGAAAUAAAAUCCUUUCAGACAAGCAAAUGCUGAGUGAUUUUGUUACCAUCAGGCCUGC
rnacentral:lncRNA from 10 species